rnacentral:rRNA from 1 species
AACAGGAUUAGAUACCCUGGUAGUCCACGCCCUAAACGAUAUCUACUAGUUGUUGGUGGAGUAAAAUCCAUGAGUAACGCAGCUAACGCGUGAAGUAGACCGCCUGGGGAGUACGGUCGCAAGAUUAAAACUCAAAUGAAUUGACGGGGGCCUGCACAAGCGGUGGAUUAUGUGGAUUAAUUCGAUGCAACGCGAAAAACCUUACCUGGCCUUGACAUGUAACGAACUUUCCAGAGAUGGAUUGGUGCUCGAAAGAGAACGUUAACACAGGUGCUGCAUGGCUGUCGUCAGCUCGUGUCGUGAGAUGUUGGGUUAAGUCCCGCAACGAGCGCAACCCUUGCCAAUAAUUGCCAUCAUUUAGUUGGGCACAUUAUUGGGACUGCCGAUGACAAAUCGGAGGAAGGUGGGGAUGACGUCAAGUCCUCAUGGCCCUUAUGGCCAGGGCUUCACACGUAAUACAAUGGUCGGUACAGAGGGUUGCCAAGCCGCAAGGUGGAGCCAAUCCCAGAAAGCCGAUCGUAGUCCGGAUUGAGGUCUGCAACUCGACCUCAUGAAGUCGGAAUCGCUAGUAAUCGCGGAUCGGCAUGUCGCGGUGAAUACGUUCCCGGGCCUUGUACACACCGCCCGUCACACCAUGGGAGUGGGUUUUACCAGAAGUAGGUAGUCUAACCGCAAGGAGGACGCUUACCACGGUAGUAUUCAUGACUGGGGUGAAGUCGUAACAAGGUAACC